GCCAGGAUGGUGGAAUAGGUAGACACAAGGGACUUAAAAUCCCUCGGCUGCAAACAGCCGUGCCGGUUCGAUUCCGGUUCCUGGCA
rnacentral:tRNA from 1 species